rnacentral:rRNA from 1 species
CCUACGGGAGGCAGCAGUGAGGAAUAUUGGUCAAUGGGCGCGAGCCUGAACCAGCCAAGCCGCGUGAAGGAUGACUGCCCUACGGGUUGUAAACUUCUUUUAUAAAGGAGUAAAUUGAAACACGUGUACCUUUUUGUAUGUACUUUACGAAUAAGGAUCGGCUAACUCCGUGCCAGCAGCCGCGGUAAUACGGAGGAUCCGAGCGUUAUCCGGAUUUAUUGGGUUUAAAGGGAGCGUAGGUGGGUUGUUAAGUCAGUUGUGAAAGGUUGCGGCUCAACCGUAAAAUUGCAAUUGAUACUGGUAGUCUAGAGUACAGUUGAGGUAGGUGGAAUUCGUGGUGUAGCGGUGAAAUGCUUAGAUAUCAAGAAGAACACCGAUUGCGAAGGCAGCUUACUAAACUGCAACUGACAUUGAGGCACGAAAGCGUGGGGAGCAAACAGGAUUAGAUACCCCGGUAGUC